AAAACAACCCAUUAAAUCAAACGAGUUAAAAACUUAGAAAAACAGUAAUCAAACCCAAAACCCAUCAAAAUUAUCUUACAAGGAACGAAAGAAAAUGAAAUCCAUCUACUACCGAGUAUAAUUCCAGUUAUAGAAAAAAAAAAAAAAAAACCAAUUUUAUAUGGAUGUAAAGAAGGUUAACCAAGUGGGUACCUGAGAAAAGUAGAAGAACAGCAGAUAGCUUGGGAUUCAGAGAAGCAUCGUGGAGGAGGAGUAGAGAAAUCAAAUGAUUGAAACAAGUGAUUCACUGAUUUUCAAUCUUCACUCUUUUGGGGAUCUGUGUAGUUACUAAUCUCGGAGAGAGAGAUGAAUGAUUGAGUGUGAUCUGAAAAUUCUGAUGCGGAAUCUGAUAAUAAUAAUAAGAAGAAGAAGAAGGAGCAGACGCAUCGGAAGAAGAGAAGAGGAGAGAUGAGGGUAUGGCGACGGACGGCUGCUACUUCCAUGCAAAAAGGCAUUUUGUAAAGACAUCCGUCCGCUUUUUCCGUCGCCUGUGGGACCCACUACUUCUUUUACUUUUCACCAUUCAGAAAUCGUCACCUUCUUCCUCUUUGCUUUCCGUUUUAUUUAUUUAUUUAUAAUAUUUCCAUCGACCGACUUGUCUAUUUCAGGUGUUUUUUUUUUAAAUCAUUUAUUUUUUUUUUCACCCAUUUAAUUUUUUUAAAAAAAUAAGCAAAAACCCAUUAAAUUAACUACUAAAUAAUAUUAUAAUUGGAAAUUAAUUUUAUAAAAAAAAUAUUUAAAAAUAUCUUCUUAGAAAUAAACAAUAAUUCUUGGGUGAAUAUUA
rnacentral:lncRNA from 1 species